CCCAGUUCGGAUUGUAGUCUGCAACCCGGCUACAUGAAGCUGGAAUCGCUAGUAAUCGCGGAUCAGAAUGCCGCGGUGAAUACGUUCCCGGGCCUUGUACACACCGCCCGUCACACCAUGGGAGUUUGUAACGCCCAAAGUCGGUGGCCUAACCUUUAUGGAGGGAGCCGCCUAAGGCGGGACAGAUGACUGGGGUGAAGUCGUAACAAGGUACC
rnacentral:rRNA from 1 species